rnacentral:rRNA from 1 species
AGCGAACGCUGGCGGCAGGCCUAACACAUGCAAGUCGAACGAACUCUUCGGAGUUAGUGGCGGACGGGUGAGUAACACGUGGGAACGUGCCUUUAGGUUCGGAAUAACUCAGGGAAACUUGUGCUAAUACCGAAUGUGCCCCUUCGGGGGGAAAAGAUUUUAAUCGCCUUUAGAGCGGCCCGCGUCUGAUUAGCUUGUUG